rnacentral:lncRNA from 1 species
UAGGAUUUGGUUUAGGGUUUGGCUAGGGUUCGAUUUAGGAUUUGGAUUAGGGUUUGGAUUAGGGUUUGGCUAGGGUUCGGUUUAGGGUUUGGAUUAGGAUUUGAAUUAGGGUUUAGAAUUUGGUUAUGGUUUGAUUUAGGGUUUGGAUUAGGAUUUGGAUUAGGGUUUGGUUAAAGUUUGAUUUAAGGUUUGGUUUAGGGUUUAGGAUUUGGAUUAGAGUUUAAGGUUGGAUUAGGGUUUGGAUUAGGAUUUAGGGUUUGGUUAGGAUUUGAUUUAGGAUUUGGAUUAGAGUUUGAUUUAAGGUUUGGUUUAGGAUUUAGAAUUUGGAUUAGAGUUUAGGGUUGGAUUAGGAUUUGGAUUAGGGUUUAGAGUUUGGUUAGGGUUUGAUUUAGGAUUUGGAUUAGGGUUUGGACUAGGAUUUAGGAUUUGGUUAGGAUUUGAUUUAAGAUUUGGAUUAGGGUUAAGUUAGGAUUUGAUUUAAGAUUUGGUUUAGGAUUUAGGGUUGGAUUAGGGUUUGGUUUAGGAUUUAGGGUUUGGAAUAGGAUUUAAUUCAUGAUUUAUUUAGGAUUUAACUUAGGAUUUAGGAAUUAUUAGGGUUUAAGAUUUAAUUAGG